AUACGGGAGGCAGCAGUGGGGAAUUUUGGACAAUGGGCGCAAGCCUGAUCCAGCAAUGCCGCGUGCAGGAAGAAGGCCUUCGGGUUGUAAACUGCUUUUGUACGGAACGAAACGGUCCUGGUUAAUACCUGGGGCUAAUGACGGUACCGUAAGAAUAAGCACCGGCUAACUACGUGCCAGCAGCCGCGGUAAUACGUAGGGUGCAAGCGUUAAUCGGAAUUACUGGGCGUAAAGCGUGCGCAGGCGGGUUUGUAAGACAGGCGUGAAAUCCCCGGGCUUAACCUGGGAAUUGCGCUUGUGACUGCAAGGCUGGAGUGCGGCAGAGGGGGAUGGAAUUCCGCGUGUAGCAGUGAAAUGCGUAGAUAUGCGGAGGAACACCGAUGGCGAAGGCAAUCCCCUGGGCCUGCACUGACGCUCAUGCACGACAGCGUGGGGAGCAAACAGGAUUAGAUACCCCUGUAGUCC
rnacentral:rRNA from 1 species